GGAUGUGAAAGCUCCCGGUUCAACUGGGAGAGGUCAUUCAAUACUGUCAGACUUGAGGAUGGUAGAGGGAGGUGGAAUUCCGGGUGUAGUGGUGAAAUGCGCAGAUAUCCGGAGGAACACCAGUGGCGAAAGCGGCCUCCUGGACCAUUCCCUGACGUUAAGACGCGAAAGCUAGGGUAGCAAACGGGAUUAGAGACCCCGGUAGUCCUAGCUGUAAACGAUGUGAACUUGGCGUCGGUGGGAUUAAAUCCAUCGGUGUCGAAGCUAACGCGAUAAGUUCCACCGCCUGAGGACUACGGCCGCAAGGUUAAAACUCAAAGGAAUUGACGGGGACCCGCACAAGCAGCGGAGCGUGUGGUUUAAUUCGUUGCUACACGAAGAACCUUACCUGGGUUUGACAUAUAGGUUGUAGGGAACUGAAAAGGGACCGACCCUUCGGGGAGCCUAUACAGGUGUUGCAUGGCUGUCGUCAGCUCGUGUCGUGAGAUGUUCGGUUAAGUCCGCUAACGAGCGCAACCCUCGCCGUAUGUUAUAUGUGUCAUACCGGUACUGCCGGUAAAAAGCCGGAGGAAGGUGGGGAUGAUGUCAAGUCAGCAUGACCUUUAUAUCCAGGGCUACAC
rnacentral:rRNA from 1 species